rnacentral:rRNA from 1 species
AUUGAACGCUGGCGGCAUGCUUUACACAUGCAAGUCGAACGGUAACAGGCCGCAAGGUGCUGACGAGUGGCGAACGGGUGAGUAAUGCAUCGGAACGUGCCCAGUCGUGGGGGAUAACGCAGCGAAAGCUGCGCUAAUACCGCAUACGAUCUAUGGAUGAAAGCGGGGGACCGUAAGGCCUCGCGCGAUUGGAGCGGCCGAUGUCAGAUUAGGUAGUUGGUGGGGUAAAGGCUCACCAAGCCAACGAUCUGUAGCUGGUCUGAGAGGACGACCAGCCACGCUGGGACUGAGACGCGGCCCAGACUCCUACGGGAGGCAGCAGUGGGGAAUUUUGGACAAUGGGCGCAAGCCUGAUCCAGCAAUGCCGCGUGCAGGAAGAAGGCCUUCGGGUUGUAAACUGCUUUUGUACGGAACGAAACGGUCCUGGUUAAUACCUGGGGCUAAUGACGGUACCGUAAGAAUAAGCACCGGCUAACUACGUGCCAGCCGCCGCAGUAAUAC